GCAGUCUGCGACGCCGCAGCUUCAUGCUGUUGCUCAUGGCUGACAGGGGAGCUCUUCCUCAUCUCUGCCACAGCUGGGGAUCGAACCGCUGACCUUCCGCUUCGCGGAGCAGGGCCCACUUUCCCCUCGCUCCUAACCCUAACCAGGUUGGUUCCAUCGUUCGCCAAUGGGAGGCCGGAUAAUGGUCCAAGUCAGAGAAUCAAACUUUCGGGGCUCUUUUGGCGUCCAAUCGGUGAGGCGGAUUUCUUUCCAAAUUCUCAGCAAUCUCUCCUCCCUCCGCCAUUGUUUCCCACGGGUAUUCAUACUGACUGACUUCAACCAAGCGACACUGAACUCAAGUGACCCCCCAGGACUUAAAGUGACCCCCCAGGACCGGCAGACCCACUUCAGGUUCUGCUGAGGAACCGCUAGGGCAUGUGGGUAAAGCAUGCAAAGAGCUGAUACGUCACACGGGCCAGGAUUGGUCGACUGGAGACGAGAGGACAAAAGAUCUGGCCGCUCCUCCCCCUCUGGCAUUCCUCCCAGACGCCCUUUGACCCCCCCUCAGGUCCCAGAGAGGGAAGAGGGGGGAGACAAAGAGAGGGACACCGGGUAGGGGGGGGGGGAAACCCAACUCCAAAAACCCUCCCCUUACCACGUCAUACGCCUUUGUGUGUUUGCGUAAAGGUUUCCCUUCCCUUUGUGACUUGAAGUGCCGCUCUGCACCACAUACUGGGGACAGGAAGUUAUAAUAACCCUCCCCGACUAAAAGCUGUACUAAUGGACCAUGUGCAACACUGUCUGUGUCCCCCUCUGAAACACGCUGUGCACAAAGUGGUUCCUUGCAACAUUGACAAGUAGUAAACUGAGUAAGACAACGCAGACAUGUUCUGUGUGUUUACAGAAACCGCAGAUUUCAAGAGGUUUACUGAAAAGGAAACGCCUCAAAACACAGUUCCUGUUUCUUCCGGAGAGGAGGGGGCUUUGUUUGUCCCUCAGCGUAAAGAAGGAGCUUCAUUCAGCUGAGAGACUGCAGGCGGAGGUCAUGGAGGAGGAGGAGGGUCAGGCACACUUGCUGCACUCGUCUUCUGGUCCUCAUCAGAUCCUCAGAGUCUCAGCUCCAGGAGAGACAGUGCAGUCAGACAGACGUGUGUGAAGGAAUCAGCCUGCAGACAGAAGAGGAAACGACACAUGCUGCAGGACAGGCUUUACAAGACAAAGAAAAUACCUCAUUGUUUACUGUCCACAUGCAAAGGGAGUAGUGGUCUGCAUGGGAACAAUGUGCUGUAAAAGGGUUCAAUCAAACACAUCAUAUCCAAAUCAUAUUUACACACCAUAGAAGCUGUGAUAAAGGAGCAAGGACACACCAAAGGGAGAGCUAUCGACAAACUCAUUUACAGUCAAACUAUCCGCAGAAAAAGCCAGAACAUUUCAGAGUCAAGUUGUUUUGAACAAUCCUUAACUUUAGCUGGAUGGACCCUCAGUCAGAGCAACAUGUGUUUGAUCUGUUCUUAAUCCACACAUUCAUUCUGUGUCUGCAUUACUCCUCUGUGGAGUAAUAUCAUUAGAAAGUAGGAGAGUUAGUGCAACGUAGCCUUUGCUAACGUUAGCAUGUAUUCCAAUACAUCAGGAAAACACAUCAAAACAAUUGGCGUUAGGAACAUAACAAAUAGAAGAUAAAACACAACUCAGGAAUUAAGGUGUUGUAAAACUGUUUUUUUAAACUGUUGGUAUCAUUUCAUGUCAUUAAGAAAACCACUUAAUACUGGGGAUGUUUUAAGAAAGCGACAUUUGUGUUUUUGUUUUCCAUUGAAGGCUGAAUGUUAUCUGUCACACGCUGAGGCUGCUCUGCUCAUUAUAAGUGAACCAACACUGGGAAGCAUCCCAACAUGUUUGAACGCAGUGUACGGCCUCAAAGGUUAACUUAUAAGUUAGCAAAAUCAAUCAAAAGUAAGUCAAUUAUUCUUGAUAGUUGAAUAUACUUUAAGAAACAAACAGCCUUCAUCUCAGCUCUCCAGAGGCUUUACUUUAUUUAGUGUUUUCAGCUCAUUCCUUCAAACAGAAGCCUCAGAUCAUAACAAGGGGAAAGUUAAGUUAUUGGGCUUUGUUUUGAUAAAAUAAGAUUUGUUAGAACAUGUUUUAAUUGACUGAAGUUAUUUGAAAAGUGGUCUUAUCAACACGUGAAUACUACUGUGUAAUAUCUGUUUACAUAUAUAUCUAAGAAGUACAAUAUAAGACAAGCACAGGUUUCAUGUGUGGGCCCUAUCACUGAUUAUACUUUUAGAAUCUGCUCCCCUCUGAUUUAGAUAUACCGAUGUAUUUCGUUUCUAUUGUAAAUACAUGCUGCUAAUAAUCAUUUGUAUUUGUAUUAUAUUUGUAUCUUUUAAAACAUUUCUAACUCGCUUAAUGCUUGCUGAAUCAACCUAUGGUAUCAACACAAGCAGAGCAGUGCCGUUCCACAGUCUGACCAGCAGGGGGCAGGCUGAGCCCACUAGAGGGAAUAAUGGAAAACACCGUAGAAACACUUUAGAAACGUCACAACUCAGCAAUACUUAUAUAUCCUCGAUAUGCGUUAUUGUAAUGUUGAUCAGUAAUAAAACGUGCAGCUAAAGCCGAAUUCAAUUAAAA